rnacentral:rRNA from 1 species
AGGACGAACGCUGGCGGCGUGCUUAACACAUGCAAGUCGAGCGGUAAGGCCUUUCGGGGUACACGAGCGGCGAACGGGUGAGUAACACGUGGGUGAUCUGCCCUGCACUCUGGGAUAAGCCUGGGAAACUGGGUCUAAUACCGGAUAUGACCUGCUCUCGCAUAGGGGUGGGUGGAAAGAUUUAUCGGUGCAGGAUGGGCCCGCGGCCUAUCAGCUUGUUGGUGGGGUAAUGGCCUACCAAGGCGACGACGGGUAGCCGACCUGAGAGGGUGACCGGCCACACUGGGACUGAGACACGGCCCAGACUCCUACGGGAGGCAGCAGUGGGGAAUAUUGCACAAUGGGCGAAAGCCUGAUGCAGCGACGCCGCGUGAGGAUGAAGGCCUUCGGGUGUAAACCUCUUUCAGCAGGACGAAGCGCAAGUGACGGUACUGCAGAAGAAGCACCGGCUAACUACGUGCUAGCAGCCGC